rnacentral:rRNA from 1 species
UACGAAGGGGGCUAGCGUUGCUCGGAAUCACUGGGCGUAAAGGGUGCGUAGGCGGGUUUUUAAGUCAGGGGUGAAAUCCUGGAGCUCAACUCCAGAACUGCCUUUGAUACUGAAGAUCUUGAGUCCGGGAGAGGUGAGUGGAACUGCGAGUGUAGAGGUGAAAUUCGUAGAUAUUCGCAAGAACACCAGUGGCGAAGGCAGCACUCUGGGACGGUACUGACGCUGAGACGCGAAAGCGUGGGGAGCGAACAGG